GCACCAGACUAUUCCCUUAAAGUGGGAGGUCAAGGGUUCGAGCAGUGGGGGAGGCGACCUAAUUCCCAGAGGAAGGAAUUGGGCCAAAUCCACUCGGGCUAGGGCGGGCCGUAAUGGCUCCCCCGAGGGACAAAUCCUGCCUGGAACCCGUGAGGGUGAAGGGAUGUUAAGAGCUGUUCAUACGCCAGUGGAAAGCCCGAGGUGGCAAGAGGCCAGGCGAGGGAUAGCCCUGGGUGUGCACGGUAACAGUGCCGGGGAUCACGUCCGGGCUGUUACA
rnacentral:lncRNA from 1 species